ensembl:lncRNA
CUAAAACUGCAUCUCUAAAUAGUAUUCAUUUGUAUAAUGUUAACGAGUUCAGAUAGCUACAUGAAACAAUUGUAUAUGUAGUUAUCACCAGCAGGCUAGUUUGAAGCUAGUGGCCGGAAAUAUAUUUUUGCAACAAGCGGUGAAUUCUACCGACCGGAGCGAUGACUAGUUUUCAACUUUCUAAAUAUUUGACAUGCAUCAUUUCACAACCGUACUCACCUUAAGAGUGUUUGUGGACCACUAGGUGGCGACGAAGUCAAGACGAAGAGCAGGGGGCUUUUCUUCUUCGUGGGAAUUUUCUGCCGCUUCUUCUUCUUCGUUGCUAUUAUGGCGGUCCGCAAACAAAUAUCAUAGGUGCAUGUCGCCACCUACUGUAUUGGCUGUGUAUCAGCCUACUAUUCUGUGUCUACACCUGUUGUUUCUCUCUCUC